AUUGUAAACUGACAGCUGUCU
rnacentral:siRNA from 1 species